UACGGGAGGCAGCAGUAGGGAAUCUUCCGCAAUGGACGAAAGUCUGACGGAGCAACGCCGCGUGAGUGAUGAAGGUUUUCGGAUCGUAAAGCUCUGUUGCCAGGGAAGAAUGCUUGGGAGAGUAACUGCUCUCAAGGUGACGGUACCUGAGAAGAAAGCCCCGGCUAACUACGUGCCAGCAGCCGCGGUAAUACGUAGGGGGCAAGCGUUGUCCGGAAUUAUUGGGCGUAAAGCGCGCGCAGGCGGCCUUGUAAGUCUGUUGUUUAAACUCGGGGCUCAACCCCGAGUCGCAAUGGAAACUGCAAAGCUUGAGUACAGAAGAGGAAAGUGGAAUCCACGUGUAGCGGUAAAUGCGUAGAGAUGUGGAGGACACCAGUGGCGAAGCGACUUUCUGGGCUGUACUGACGCUGAGCGCGAAAGCGUGGGAGCAACAGGAUAGAUACCUGGUAGUCACGCCGUAACGAUGAUGCUAGGGUUAGGGGUUCAAUACCUUGGUGCGAAGUUACACAUUAGCAUCCGCCUGGGAG
rnacentral:rRNA from 1 species